rnacentral:tRNA from 1 species
GGUGAGGUGUCCGAGUGGCUGAAGGAGCACGCCUGGAAAGUGUGUAUACGGCAACGUAUGGGGGGUUCGACCCCCCCCCCCCCCGCCA